rnacentral:misc_RNA from 1 species
UCCCGGUUGUCCCGGGCAGUAUCGCCUGAAAAAUACAACAGACGACAAGGGUUGCGCUCGUUGCGGGACUUAACCCAACAUCUCACGACACGAGCUGACGACGGCCAUGCAGCACCUGUCACCAGGUUCCAAAAGGCACUCCACUGUUUCCAGCGGAUUCCUGGGAUGUCAAACCUCGGUAAGGUUCUUCGCGUAUCAUCGAAUUAAACCGCAUCAUCCACUGCUUGUGCGGGUCCCCGUCAAUUCCUUUGAGUUUUAAGCUUGCGCUCGUACUCCCCAGGCGGGGUGCUUAUCGCGUUAGCUUCUCAGCACAGAGGGUCGAUACUCCAUACUAAUAGCACCCAUCGUUUACGGCGUGGACUAC